UUGGGUGUCGAGAGACUUAAUAGAAAAGCCGGUUGAAGGCCGGCGCGGUCCCGCCACUGUAUCAGGGAGCAACUUUGCAAUAGUCCACUGGGGAAAGCCUUGGGAAGGCGCAGAGAAGCGAUGAACUGGAGCCAGGAGAACUGCCCGAUU
rnacentral:ncRNA from 1 species